rnacentral:rRNA from 1 species
UAACAUGCAGUCGAACGGCAGCACGGGAGCAAUCCUGGUGGCGAGUGGCGAACGGGUGAGUAAUACAUCGGAACGUGUCCUGGAGUGGGGGAUAGCCCGGCGAAAGCCGGAUUAAUACCGCAUACGCUCUAUGGAGGAAAGCGGGGGAUCUUUCGGGACCUCGCGCUCAAGGGGCGGCCGAUGGCAGAUUAGCUAGUUGGUGGGGUAAAGGCCUACCAAGGCGACGAUCUGUAGCUGGUCUGAGAGGACGACCAGCCACACUGGGACUGAGACACGGCCCAGACUCCUACGGGAGGCAGCAGUGGGGAAUUUUGGACAAUGGGCGCAAGCCUGAUCCAGCAAUGCCGCGUGUGUGAAGAAGGCCUUCGGGUUGUAAAGCACUUUUGUCCGGAAAGAAAACCUCUGGGUUAAUACCCCGGGGGGAUGACGGUACCGGAAGAAUAAGCACCGGCUAACUACGUGCCAGCAGCCGCGGUAAUACGUAGGGUGCGAGCGUUAAUCGGAAUUACUGGGCGUAAAGCGUGCGCAGGCGGUUCGUUAAGACAGAUGUGAAAUCCCCGGGCUUAACCUGGGAACUGCAUUUGUGACUGGCGGGCUAGAGUAUGGCAGAGGGGGGUAGAAUUCCACGUGUAGCAGUGAAAUGCGUAGAGAUGUGGAGGAAUACCGAUGGCGAAGGCAGCCCCCUGGGCCAAUACUGACGCUCAUGCACGAAAGCGUGGGGAGCAAACAGGAUUAGAUACCCUGGUAGUCCACGCCCUAAACGAUGUCAACUAGUUGUUGGGGAUUCAUUUCCUUAGUAACGUAGCUAACGCGUGAAGUUGACCGCCUGGGGAGUACGGUCGCAAGAUUAAAACUCAAGAGA